GGGAAGGGUCCCUUUUUCCCCUCUGCUUUUCCUGCAGUGACGCAAUGUGAUCCAUCGGCAAGGAGGGACACCAAUGGAAGCCCUUUUGAUCUUGACCAGAUGAAGUUUUGCUAACUGCAUCCAGAGGCCUCAUCAAAAGUAAUGCAAAGAUAGCAACUGACUAUCCAAAGGAGAAGGGAUGGAUUUUUCAGGUGCUCACUAUAACAAGCUUUUGGAGACUCUGUCUUUGGGGGAGAAGUGGAAAACAUACUGAGAGACUAGAGACUCCUCUGGUCCAGCUCAUCUUUCAUCUCUGGUCAGCUUCGGUGAUUUCAUUAUACCCACAUUCCCCCUGAGACUUGGCAACUAUCCUAGCAUACUUCAUCUCCUUUCAUCUUAUCACAUAUUUCCAUUUGCAUUUUUCUGGAAAAUGUCCACCGUUUGUGUUUGCAUAAAGUCUGCUGCACAGUUACCAUGACAUCUGAAAGGAUUUCUAUAAUUAAUUAUUCACAGUGUAUUGUUAUUAUGUUAUUUCAACAUUUGCAUAGGGAAAUGGGCUGCAAGAUGAAUGGGAG
rnacentral:lncRNA from 1 species